ACUUCCAUCUGCAGUAUCAACUCCUAAGGCACCCAACAACAGUUAACUCGUCAGCAACCUCGAAAACAUCUGAGCUUUUCUUAAAUUGCUGAGACAGAGAGCCAUUCUAGUCCACCAGAUGUCCCAACCAAGCUUCAGCCGUCCAACCUAAACUCCCCAAAAAGUUGCGACAACGGACACCACUCCACUCUCUGUAACAAACUCCACAU
rnacentral:lncRNA from 1 species